rnacentral:lncRNA from 1 species
UUGCUGAGAUGGAGUCACCAAGUUUGAUUCUUCUAAGCUGUUUCCUGAUACAAUGCUACGGGUCCACUCACUUUCAUUACCUAAAGAAAGGGGAGGAGUUAACACUGUCCUGUGAAACAUGUCAAUGGCAGGCUGAUGUGAAUUCAGACAACAGAGUGGACUGCAGCUUCAUAGACAGUAAUUAUGCAAAUAACUCAAAAUGCACUGCAUGAAAACAGGACCUAUGCCAAAAGAUAAAGAAGAACAAACCCACCGGUUGUGAAAUCUGUGUAAUGAGGGGAUUCUUUGCCUGUGUUAAUGCUACAUCUGACUCCUGCUUCAUGCAUCCAUUCAAACCCUCUUCUCACCAUGUGGAGUCCUUCAUUGUUGCUCAGGCAGAACCAGACAUUGUGUCUAAACCUGUAAUGGAAAACUCAGUGCUUGUGUCUGGAAGAGAAUCAAUUAAUCUGGCGUGCGCUUUUAAAACAAAGGGGAAUUAUUCCAAUAAUCCUUUCGUGGUGUACUGGAUCAAGACUGGAGCUCAGAGCAGCACAUGUGUGUAUUCCUUUGAUUACGAUGGAUAUGAUAGUGGUGCUGAUCACCACUGUGCCAUCGACAAAGAUCUUCUGUUAAGGAGAUCAAACACAUCAAAACUCUCCCUUGAUGACAACAUCCAUAACCUAAAGAUCAGCAAUGCCACUCAGUCAGACCGUGGACAGUAUCUGUGUGUCUUAAUGGUGAACACAAAUAGUCAGCAGUACUGGGCAGUAAUAACCAACACUACAGUCAUUAUGGAUAAUCCUGACAAAUCAAAUACCACCGUAAAUACCACUGCUGAUUCCCAUCUCAUCUAUGUGAUUGGUGUAUUAGUACCCGUUCUUCUCCUCCUCCCUGUCAUCAUCAUCAUCAUCAUACUGCUUAAAAGGAAACCAGCUGAGACCACAGUAUCUCAAACUGCAAUAACUCAAAGGUAA